GGAGGGGUGGCAGAGUGGUUGAAUGCACCGGUCUUGAAAACCGGCAAGGGUGAAAGCCCUUCGUGGGUUCAAAUCCCACCCCCUCCGCCA
rnacentral:tRNA from 1 species